GCGAGCCAGUCAGUGCGCGCCUCCGCCCGGCCCCAGCGAGCAGCGGGGAUCGAUACCUCAGAGCAGGGAGGGACGGGACGCUGAGCACCUUUCCAACCCCCCUGUCCUUGCAAGACAAGCGCGGCAGCAGCAGCAGCAGAAGCAGAAGCGCAGGAAGCGAUAGGCGCUGCGUGGGGGUGGGAGACGGAAGAAUCAGAUAAGAAAAUAAAAUGGCAGACGCGAGUACGCAGUCCUCGCAGGUCUCCUCUUCUCACGGCGCCGGGGAGGGCUCGUCUCCUUCCUCCGCCGGAGGCUCCAAGUCGACGGAUUCCUUUCUUUCCUCUUCUUCGCCUGUAUCUCUCAUUCAGUCUUCUCAAGGCAAGUGUCUGGUUCUUUUAAUGCUGAGCCCUGCUGUCUCCUCUCCUCCUGUCCCUCUCUCUCUCUCUCCCAUCUCGGUCCCCCUCUCCCCCUGUCCCUCUUCCUUCUCUCCCUCCCUCUCUCUCUUCUCUCCUCUCCUCUCCCCCUGUCCGUCUCUCUCUCUCUCUCCCCCCCGUCUCUCUCCUUUCUCUCCCAUCUCUCUCUCCCUCCUCUCCCCCUGUCCCUCUCCCGUCUCUCUCUCUCUCUCUCUCUCCUCUCCCCCUGUCCCUCUCCCUUCUCUCCCAUCUCUCUCUUCCUUCUCUCCCUCUCUCUUCUCUCCUCUCCCCCUGUCCGUCUCUCUCUCUCUCCCCCCCUGUCCCUCUCCCUUCUCUCUCUCUCCUCUCCCCCUGUCCCUCUCCCUUCUCUCCCUCUCUCUCUCUCUCUCUCUCCUCUCCCCCUGUCCCUCUCUCUCUCUCUCUCGUGCUGCUGCUGCUGCUGCGCUGGGCUGCUGCAUCUUCUGGCUUCUUCCCUUUCCUGGGGGUCACCCCCCCCCCACCCCGACUCCCUGGAUUUUCAACAGGGGCUGCAAAAGACCCACCCACCCACACCCACACCCACACGGACACCUCCCACAGCACCCCCGCUCGGGUUCCAUCUGCUGCUGUCCGCUUAAGCGCCUGAGCGCCCGGUCCAGUAAACCCCCCCCCCCAAGAUCCGAGUCUGCCCACUUCAGGUCGGAAUGAUUCGGCUCCUCCGGUCAGCUCCUAACGACGUCGCUUGGCUCGUUGGAGGCCUGGGAAACCCAGGUGUCCUGGGCCGGGCCCAGUUGGGGUUCCCGCUCACAAGGCCCCGCUAGAUUUUGUGCAGAGACGCACCGUGACUUUUAUGAGCCUGUUAAUGACGAGGCUGGAGCUCUCCCAGCCUUGUAAGUACCCCCAUCGUGAAGGGAGGGCUCAACGCGCCCGCCGGAGACUCCCGGGAGAAAGCUCGUGUUCCCCCAGUAAUUCGGAUCUGCUCCCGUCGAAAGGAGCCUUUAUCUUUCCGAUGCCUCCUGUGAUCGGCGGAGCGGCGGUGCAGAUAUUCCUGGCCCCUCUUGCUGAAGAGCCCGGGUUCCGGGUCGAAGGCUGGCUUUAAAAGGGGGGCAGCGGCUCAUCUGUCCCCUCCAGGCCCUGUGCAGCUCGUACUGCUGCUGGACCGAUGGGUCUUGUAGCCAUUCGCGCGGAGCAGCAAAGCUCUCUGUUGGGGUGCCGGGGGGGGGCUUCCUGUCGAACAGGGAACGACCUCCAGAGCAAAGGGCAGGCCGCUCUUUGGGCUCUGUGGCUGUCGGGAGUCACUGAGCCCUGUUUCUGACUCCCAAGCUGUGAGGUUUCGUCAAGUCGCUCGGGGGGGGCAGGGGAGGUCGGGGUACACUUAACGAGUUGGGUUGGGUGGGGGGCGGGGGGAGGCUUUGGAUGCGAGCAAGGGAUCGUGAAAGGGUGCGGUGUUCCCCAUGUGCGUGCCAGCGACCCGAUUUUCACCACCCCCACCCCCACCCAGUGUCGCCCUCUCCAGGUGUGUUUUGCAGCCCGGUUCUGAAAAGUCCAGCCGCUUCCCGAACGUGCGCGGACGCCCCUCGGGGCUCCGCGCCCCGCCACGCGGCGGGUGGGGGCUCGGCCCGGGCGAUGGCUGCCUGCCUGGCCCGUUCGAAUUGGCUUUGCAUGUCAUCUCUUCCCUCUGUUGUGCCCCCUCGCCCCCACCCCCAAAAGCUUUUUCUUUUUUUUUUUUUUGGUUCACCAUUCUGCCCUUGUUAGACCCCUCCCAGGGAGUGCAGGCUCACUUCCACUCUCCGCUCCUGGUCUGUGUUGAAAUAUAGCGCCUUGCAGCACUGCGAGAAAGAUCCUUCUUCUCCCAGAGGGGCAGUUGGAGCCUAAAGGGAAGGCCAGGAAAGUGAUGGGGGUGGAGGGGGGUGUUUUGGUAGCUGGUAUUCAGAGCUGAGGGGCCGAAAAGCAUCAAUCCUGCGUCUAUGUUUGUGUCCUGAUGACUUUAAGGAACAGGUUGAGGUCUUUCCGGUUUUUCCCAGAAUCCGUGUCGUUGGCGCUGUUGUUGGGCUGACCUUUGACCUUUCACCUCUGUCUGGGACUGGGGGAGGAAGGGGGUGAGGUGGGGGUCAGGCAGGAGUGCGUCUUGCCAGGGACUUGGUUGGAAGUGGCACGCUCUGUAUGCGGGGCCGACCUGUUUUCCGUUCCCUGGGGAAACGAGGCCAUUGUACGGCGGGUUCCACCCAUCUUCUCAGACCGUUAUGAGAGCAGGCAGUGCAAAGGUGGGGAACCUUUGGCCCUUUCCCGCGAGGUGGGGGUUGUGAGAGAAAUAAGGGGGGAUAAUCCCGGAGAGAGAAAAGGGGGUGUGCGGAAGGGGAUUGCUGGUUAAAAAAACGAGGACUGCUUCCCCGUUAACCGUUCUGUCUGGGACUAAGAUAUAGUCGUCCCUUCGUCUCAGACGGCCCGUUCGUCGGAUCUGGGGUGCGCGUUCGGGUUAUGGGCUGAGGAGGCCAAUCCCGUGACGGUGUCUUCUGUAAAAACAAAAACAAAAAACCCUCAAAUUUCGGGUUUAGAUUUUGUGUCAUGAAGCGGAGACGGGACCACGUGACCUGCAGGCCACUAGCCUUGUUUCUGAAGAGGAUCGGGGGUAUGGGACAGUCUGGGGAUCGGGGGUAUGGGACAGUCUGGGGCGCGGGGGGGAUCGGGGGUAUGGGACAGUCUGGGGAUCGGGGGUAUGGGACAGUCCGGGGCGCGGGGGGGAUCGGGGGUAUGGGAUAGUCCCAGGUGGUGAAAGAUGGAUCAGUCCUAAUCGGGUGGGUUUCGGCUUUUUUAGUUCGGUGCAGAAACCGAACGCCGUCCUGUCCACACACACCUGAUUCUGCUUUCUGUUUUGUUUGCGUUGCCGUAUCGAGCCACACACUCUUGAUGGGCAACAGCCCCUCCACCCACCCCUCUCCUCCCGACCCCGACCCCUUGCUGCCCCGUUCUGGGAGCGCGAGCUGCCGUUCCAUGCAUGUCUUGAGCUUGAGCUGAGGUGGAGCAAACUGUGCGUGUGUGCGUGCGUGCAGGCGUGCCGCGCGCUGUGGCUGGGCGGGGAGACCUGCUGCUUCUCUCCGAGCACGGCAUGUGCGCUGUCCUGUCGAUCCGGUCGUGCGCGGAGUCGCCUGGUCCCUCUUGUAGCCCCUUCAGAGCUCGGAGGGCAGGCGAGAGGGGUUUUGGAAGAAAAGGUUGUUUAUCUCCGGGACCCCAUGAGGGCAGGAAGGUGAGAGAGAGAGUCCUGUCCUGUCCUGGCCAGGGAGUGCUGAGACAGGUUUUCAGCUCCUCCCACUAGUGGGCCAUACCAGGGCAAUUGUCCCUCCCCAAUAUUUUAGCUCCUCCCCCUACAUAGCCAGUUCAGACCAAUUGCCCCUCCCCAAUAUUGUAGCUCCUCCCCCUACGUAGCCAAUGCAGGCCAAUCAUCCCUCCCCAAUGUUCUAAGCCCCUCCCCCUUGAGCUGGAUGAGACCAAUUGCCCCUCCCCAAUAUAUUAGCCACUCCCGCUAGGAAGCCUGAAUAGACCAGUCCCCCUUGGCUGAGGUUGUUAGCUCCUCCCACCAUGACGAUGGAGCAGACCAGUGCCUGACUGGAUGGAGACCGACCCCCCCCCCCGAAAGCACAGAUCCUGGGUUGGAGCCUCUCGGGGUACGAAUAUUUGCUUUUCUUCCUGAACCCCAUCGCCUGCUCUUCAGGUUGCUCUCGACCGAGGGCUUCACCUUUGAAAAGGCGAGAGCAGGAGAGGGGCACCCUGUUAACUUGGAGUGAUUUUGUUUUAUUUUUUUUCCUCGUUCGAUUCCUUGCUUGCCUCUGAAGUAGAGUGGGCGCGCUGCUCGAACCGUCGAUCGGACUAACCAAUGACUCACUGUUUGAUACUCGCCGUGCUGGCUUACAGGAAGCAUGAUGAUGGUGGAGGGGGGAGGGGAAGCAUUUUAGCGUCGCACGUGGCUCGGAAGCUUUGUGCAUGUGGGAGCACGUGCGACCCUACUGCUCCGCCCCCCCGCCAGCCCAGUCCCCAGGCGUUCCUGCUGGAGAACUUGGAACAGUCCCGUACCCGUGCCCUGUUGGGUGGAGCAAGUGAGAAAUUGAACCAGGAAAAAAAAAAAACAUGGCCCGGAUGGCGCAAAAUCCCGGAUCGGAUCGGAUCCCCUCUCUAGGACUACAAGUGAGGACCGGGGGUGUCGACGUUCAGGGACGCCUGGGGGUGAAUGUAGGUUGACGGUCCCCUCCUCUUUCUCCCCCUCCCUGCCCCGACCCCACCGAAACGGACGCAGCUGGGAGCAGGAUGGAGGGUCCCCACCUGUCUCCGGAAAGAGUGGCCACCUCCUGCGCCCCAGUUGCUUUUGGGGGGCAGGGCCCCCCCAGUUAUGCGCAAGGGCCACCUCAAAGCGCGGGUGACCAGGAGCCGAAAAUGGGAACCCCAGGAGCCGCCGCUGACCCCGUCGCCCCGAUAAUGGGCCGCCCCGCGGGGGC
ensembl:lincRNA